AAAUGGAAUAUACUCUUAAAGAACACAAGUUUUAUUAGCCAAUAUUUUUGUCAGAACUCUCCUGGAGUCUGAGCUACUGGAGCCUUCCCCUUGGUGAACACUGAACGGGUGGUGCUGCAUGAAUUUGUCUUGGAAUAGGACCCUGAGCCAGGUCCUGGGGAGGGGGAGGAAACGUUUCACUGAUGGGACAUGUUGGAGCAUCUUCUGAGAGUGAAAAUCCCCAGCCUGCAAAGCAUUGGUGCCAGGGCAGCAUGA